AACUAGCUAUCAACUACCACGGAUUUAGUUCAACACGAAAGGAUGACGGUUGCAGUAAAGUGUGAUGGAAAAUAUCUACAAAAAGGGAAACUCAUGGAAGAAGAUAGGUGUGAAUCGUUUACCAAAUCGGAAGUUCUGAAAAUCUCAGGGUUCGGUGAGAUCCUCCGGAUGCCGGCAGCGGUUCUCUUCGGCGAGCGAUUCUUCAGUGAGGUA
rnacentral:lncRNA from 1 species